UAAUAUGUUAAAAAUUAGGUAGUAAUGGAAUAUCCGAAACCUAAAGAACUUGGCGGUAUUUUAAAUAAUUGGAGGAACUUGUUGUUUAAUUGAAAUUCCACAGCGUAUCUUACCCUGCUUUUGUUUGUAUAUCGUUGUUUUAGGACGACAUUUUAAAAUGUAGUCAAGAUUAAAAUUUUUUAUCAAAUCAAAUCAAGGUGCAGCGUGGCAGGGUUACGAUGAGUUACAAUAUGUUUCAUGUAAACGGAAGAUGAGAUGAAAUUUAAGUGUGAAGGUGGAUUCAAAAGUAAUGAAAUAUUAAAAAGUUUUUAUGAAUGAAGAUUUAAAAUAUGC
rnacentral:rRNA from 2 species